CCUACGGGUGGCUGCAGUAGGGAAUUUUGCGCAAUGGGCGAAAGCCUGACGCAGCAACACCGCGUGGAGGAUGAAGUCUCUUGGGACGUAAACUCCUGUCAGCUGGGAAGAUUAUGACGGUACCAGCAGAGGAAGCAUCGGCUAACUACGUGCCAGCAGCCGCGGUAAGACGUAGGAUGCAAGCGUUGUCCGGAUUUAUUGGGCGUAAAGAGUUCGUAGGCGGUUGCCUAAGUCUGAUGUUAAAGCUCGGAGCUUAACUCCGAAUCAGCAUCGGA
rnacentral:rRNA from 1 species